GCGGGCGUAGUUCAAUGGUAGAACUCCAGCUUCCCAAGCUGGUAGCGCGGGUUCGAUUCCCGUCGCCCGCUCCA
rnacentral:tRNA from 2 species